AUGAAGUCGGAAUUGCUAGUAAUCGCGGAUCAGCAUGCCGCGGUGAAUACGUUCCCGGGCCUUGUACACACCGCCCGUCACACCAUGAGAGUCGGGAACACCCGAAGUCCGUAGUCUAACUUUCACGAGAGGACGCGGCCGAAGGUGGGUUCGAUAAUUGGGGUGAAGUCGUAACAAGGUACC
rnacentral:rRNA from 1 species